CCCUUAGACGUUCUGGGCCGCACGCGCGCUACACUGACCAGUGCAACAAGCAUCCGUCCUUGGCCGACAGGCCCGGGCAAUCUUUGAACGCUGGUCGUGAUGGGGAUAGACUUUUGCAAUUUUUGGUCUUCAACGAGGAAUUCCUAGUAAACGCAAGUCAUCAACUUGCAUUGAUUACGUCCCUGCCCUUUGUACACACCGCCCGGCGCACCUACCGAUUGAAUGGUCCGGUGAAGCCUCCGGAUUGGCGCGCACCUCGGUGCCGCCGAGAAGUUGGCUAAACCUUACCAUUUAGAGGAAGGUGAAGUCGUAACA
rnacentral:rRNA from 1 species